rnacentral:rRNA from 1 species
AUUGAACGCUGGCGGCAUGCUUUACACAUGCAAGUCGAACGGCAGCGGGGAGCUUCUUGCUUCUCUGCCGGCCAGUGGCGUACGGGUUAGUAAUACAUCGGCAUGUUUCUAGAAGAGGGGGUUCACCACCCGAAACUGUUGCUACUUCCGCAUUAAUUCUGAGGAAGGAAGCUCUUGACCUCGAAAUCUGCCUAGUGCUUUUAGAUCGGCCGAUGUCGGAUUAGCUAGUUGGUGCGGUAAAGGCUCACCAAGGCGAAGAUCUGUAGCGGGUCUGAGAGGAUGAUCAGCCACACUGGAACUGAGACACGGCCCAGACUCCUACGGGAGGCAGCAGUGGGGAAUUUUGGACAAUGGGGGCAAGCCUGAUCCAGCCAUGCCGCGUGUAUGAAGAAGGCCUUAGGAUUGUAAAGUACUUUUGGUAGGGAAGAAAAGCCAGAAGUGAAUAAUGGGUGAUACUGACGGUACCUAAAGAAUAAGCACCGGCUAACUACGUG